rnacentral:rRNA from 1 species
GACGAACGCUGGCGGCGUGGAUUAGGCAUGCAAGUCGAACGGUAUCAUCCUUUCGGGGGUGAGAGAGUGGCGAACUGGUGAGUAACACGUAGGUUAUCUACCCUCAAGACGGGGACGAACCCAGGGAAACGUUGGGCUAAUACCGGAUGAGAGUGCGAGAGAUUGCAUUUAAAAGGAUGGCGAAAGUUGUCGCUUAGGGAUGAGCCUGCGGUCUAUUAGUUAGUUGGUGAGGUAAGAGCUCACCAAGGCGAUGAUAGAUAGGCGGCCUUAACGGGUGGUCGCCCACACUGGGAUUGAGAUACGGCCCAGACUCCUACGGGAGGCAGCAGUCGAGAAUAGUCUACAAUGGCCGGAAGGCUGAUAGUGCGACGCCGCGUGAACGAGGGAGCCCUUCGGGUGUAAAGUUCUUUUCUUAUACGAGCAGUGCUAUAUAUAUGGAUAGUAUAUAUAGAGGGAGUAGUAGUAUAGGAAUAAGCAACGGCUAACUCGUGCCAGCAGCCG